GAACCUUUCAGGUUCAGAAAUUAGCUCACAAGUGGGUAGGUCUGGGCGUAGUGAAAAGCGACCCCACAGACUGUUUAGAAUCAACUUGUUGCAAUUACGCAUGGCCUUGUUCACACACAUGUUGUCGCGAUCCAGCAGUAUGCCUUCCUUUGCCAGGUAGUUUUGCACAUACACCCGCUGUUUCUCCGCAGUAUCCACUGUGCUGGGGUAUCCUGAAGCCUCCUGUUUACGCUUGAGAAACAGGAGGCUUCACUGGGCUCCGUCAUCACAGAGAGGGCUGAGAGACUAUCAGAGACGCAGAGAGAGAGACAGACAGACAGACAGACAGACAGACAGACAGAACGACAGACAGAGAGACACAGACAGACAGAUAGAUAGACAGAUAGACAGACAGCCCUAGCAGAGAGAGAGAGAGAGAGAGAGAGGUGCACACAACUGGUAGACAUGAGUCAAG
ensembl:lncRNA